rnacentral:misc_RNA from 1 species
GUGCACUCGGCCUUCAAUUGCAUUAAAAAGUUAAAUGUAAACAGUAGUCUAUCUCUCUUUUUCUUCAAAAGUCAAAUGGCAGUUACUUGUACAAUUUCACUAAGUAAAAUUUUAGAAAAGAAAAAAAUCGAGUGCAAACUUUACUUGAACACUAAAUCAUAGAAUUUUAAAACAAGGAUCCACUGGCCAAAAGUUUGUUCUACUCUGUUUGCAAUUAUCCAACUGUUCAGUUCUGAUGGUUGAUUUAACAUAUAAAGUGC